rnacentral:rRNA from 1 species
UGCCAGACUCCUACGGGAGGCAGCAGUGAGGAAUAUUGGUCAAUGGGCGAGAGCCUGAACCAGCCAAGUCGCGUGAAGGAUGACGGCCCUACGGGUUGUAAACUUCUUUUGUCAGGGAGCAAUUGGGUCCACGCGUGGGCUUAGCGAGAGUACCUGAAGAAAAAGCAUCGGCUAACUCCGUGCCAGCAGCCGCGGUAAUACGGAGGAUGCGAGCGUUAUCCGGAUUUAUUGGGUUUAAAGGGUGCGUAGGCGGAAUAUCAAGUCAGCGGUGAAAUACCGGGGCUCAACCCCGGGGCUGCCGUUGAAACCGGAGCGCUAGAAUUCCGAUGCCGUCGGAGGAAUGUGUGGUGUAGCGGUGAAAUGCAUAGAUAUCACACAGAACACCGAUUGCGAAGGCAUCUGACGAAUCGGAGAUUGACGCUGAUGCACGAAAGCGUGGGUAUCGAACAGGAUUAGAUACCCUAGUACU